ensembl:ncRNA asRNA:CR43957 antisense RNA:CR43957
GAACAGUCGGCGAAGGCGGGCAGAUCGAAGAUGGCCACACAAUACAUAUACUCUUCUGUAUUGGUCAAUUCAACAACACUGUCUUGAACCAAAUUGGAUUUAUAAUUUCCGACACGAUAUUACGUACGGGCAUAACUAGAUUGAUUCGGCUAGGGUCAAUCAAUUUCUUUUAUCUGAUAUACGGCUUUAACCUAGACGACAUUUUGCGGUCUAAAGACGAUCUAGCACUUUAGUUAUGCGGUGUACCCAAUGACUUUAUUAUCCUCUCUUCUUUGGUUCAGUACAAAUUUUAAAGGCUUAAUUAGUCACCGGUUCGAAGCCGAAAAGGGUGGAGAACGUUCGGCUUAAGCGAUAUGCUCGCACACUUGUGUAUACGUAUAUGUAUACACACAUUUAUAUCAUAUAUCUACGUAUACUGUAUAUACAUUCAAGCCGUUAACGUAUAAUGUCUUCUUGAAUCCAGUUUCUUUUUCGAUUAAGACGGAGCAAGCUGCAGAUUGAAGCAUCAUCAUUAGCAAGAAACUGAGCUGAGAAGACCUUUGAAAUAAUGUUGUCAGACGAAGACAAAAAUACAUACAAAUAUGUAUGUAUGUAUACAUAGGAAGGAAGCAGACAAAAAAAGAGGCAAUAACAAAACAAAGGGAAUGCUUUUUGGACCUUUAUAAUAUGGUACACAUGUGUAUGUACAUAAAAGCCUUACUGAGGUUAGCCUUUAAACUGGAUAUUGCAUACAUUCAUAUGCACAAAUGCAUAUAUGUACAUAUGUACGUACAUUGUAUGUAUAAUUCCACAAGCGUCAAUAUACAUAUGUACAUGUUAUACUCGUAUAAGCAUUUAGAAAAAAGAUUCCCAAGAGACUAAACACACAUGCAUAUGCGUCUGUAAAUUAGGGCGGACUUCAGCUUUAUCAAAGUCCUGCAAUAACACCUCUUUUUAAAUUAAUUUGUAAUAAGAAGCCAUAACAACCUUACAUGUGCAUACAAUUCAGAGCACUACCUUUAUUACCCGUCAUUUGUUAUUUUCUGAGGAAAGUAAAGAAAUUACAAUUGGAUUACUUUUUCCUGUGGUCU